AACGCACAUUGCGCCCGCCGGUAUUCCGGAGGGCAUGCCUGUUCGAGCGUCACAAAAAUCCCUCGGGCUUUCGGCCCGGUGUUGGAGGCUCCGCCUAGUUAGUUAUAGGCGGCCUCUGAAAUAGAGCGGCGCUGCCGCCUGCCGGUCUUUGCGAGGUAAAAAAAUCCGCUCCGACUGCUGGCGCUGGCUGCCUUGUUACUUAUGGAAAUGACCUCGGAUCAGGUAGGGCUACCCGCUGAACUUAA
rnacentral:misc_RNA from 1 species